UACAGAGGGGGCAAGCGUUAUUCGGAAUUAUUGGGCGUAAAGGGCGCGUAGGCGGCUUUUCAAGUGACGGGUGAAAUCCCUCGGCUUAACCGAGGAACUGCCUGUCAGACUGGAAGGCUUGAGACCGGGAGAGGUUUGUGGAAUUCCUGGUGUAACGGUGAAAUGUGUUGAUAUCAGGAGGAACACCCAUGGCGAAGGCAGCAAACUGGUCAUCAACUGACGCUGAGGCGCGAAAGCGUGGGUAGCAAACAGG
rnacentral:rRNA from 1 species